GACGUCGGGGGCGAGCGUUGUCCGGAUUUAUUGGGCGUAAAGAGCUCGUAGGCGGCUCAGCAAGUCGGGUGUGAAACCUCCAGGCUCAACCUGGAGACGCCACCUGAUACUGCUGUGGCUAGAGUCCGGUAGGGGAACACGGAAUACCCGGUGUAGCGGUGAAAUGCUUAGAUAUCGGGUGGAACACCAGUGGCGAAGGCGGUGUUCUGGGCCGGAACUGACGCUGAGGAGCGAAAGCGUGGGGAGCAAACAGG
rnacentral:rRNA from 1 species